UGCGCAGGUGGGCUGGUAAGGUCGAUGUGAAAGCCCCGGGCUUAACCCGGGAAAGGCAUUGGAUACUACUGGUCUGGAGGAUUGGGAGGGGGGACUGGAAUUCUUGGUGUAGCAGUGAAAUGCGUAGAUAUCAAGAGGAACACCAGUGGCGAAGGCGAGUCCCUGGACAAUACCUGACACUGAGGCACGAAAGCCAAGGGAAGCAAACA
rnacentral:rRNA from 1 species